GAAAUGCGAUAAGUAAUGUGAAUUGCAGAAUUCAGUGAAUCAUCGAAUCUUUGAACGCACAUUGCGCCCUUUGGCAUUCCGAAGGGCAUGCCUGUUCGAGCGCCGUUACACCAAUCAAGCCUGGCUUGGUAUUGGGCGACGGGGUCGGUCGAACCACCCCCCGCCCCAAAGGCCUUUCCGGCGGGACGGACCGAAUCUCAGCGUUGUGCAAACGUGUCGCUGGCGAGACGGGACGGCCGUGCCGUUAAACCCCAUUUUCUUCAAGGUUGACCUCGGAUCAGGUAGGGAUACCCGCUGAACUUAAGC
rnacentral:misc_RNA from 1 species